UGGGGAAUUUUGGACAAUGGGGGCAACCCUGAUCCAGCCAUGCCGCGUGAGUGAAGAAGGCCUUCGGGUUGUAAAGCUCUUUCGGCCGGGAAGAAAUCGGUGGGGCCAAUACCCUCACUGGAUGACGGUACCGGAAGAAGAAGCACCGGCUAACUACGUGCCAGCAGCCGCGGUAAUACGUAGGGUGCGAGCGUUAAUCGGAAUUACUGGGCGUAAAGGGUGCGCAGGCGGCGCCAUAAGACAGCUGUGAAAUCCCCGGGCUUAACCUGGGAACUGCGGUUGUGACUGUGGUGCUUGAGUGCGGCAGAGGGGGGUGGAAUUCCACGUGUAGCAGUGAAAUGCGUAGAGAUGUGGAGGAACACCGAUGGCGAAGGCAGCCCCCUGGGUCGACACUGACGCUCAUGCACGAAAGCGUGGGGAGCAAACAGG
rnacentral:rRNA from 1 species